GAAUAAAAAUAAAAACGACGAGGAGAAUUUUUUAAAAAGUAUAACCCUCAAAGCUGAUGAGGAAGCUGUUAGACAGGCAGUCUCAUUUAUUGUUAAUAGAAGUGCAAUUUCUCAAAUCAUUUUAGAAUGCAGUGUAAUGAUACAUCAUAAGCUUAAAUAUAUUCAGUCUUUGACCCAGUAAUUCCAUUUCUGAGAAGCUAAGGAAAUAGCCAUCUAUGAAGAAGCUUCAUGCACAAAGAUAUUUAUUACGUCAUUAUUUAUACAGGGAAAAAUUGGAAAUAACCUAACUAUAUUACAGUAGAAGUAAUCUUUGAGACUGGAUGGCCUAUAAUACAGCCAUUAAAAAUAACAGUUACUCAUGGAAAAAUAAAACAAAGUAAAAUGCACUAGGGAGUUCCUGCUGUGGUGCAGUGGUCAUGAAUCCGAAUCCGACUAGUAUCCAUGAGGAUGUAGGUUUGAUCCCUGGCCUUGCUUAGUAGGUUAAGGAUCUGGCAUUGCAAAGGAGGCUAUGAUCCCACGUGUGGGAUUGCUGUGGCUGUGAUGUUGGCUGUCAGCUCUAGCUCUGAUUUGACCUCUAGACUGGGAACUUCCAUAUGCCAUGGAUGUGGUAAAAGAAAACCAAAACCAAAACCAAAACCAAAACCAAAACAGACUAAAAUAUUAGUAAUGAUUACUUCUAACUGGUGGGAUUAUGAAUGAUUUUCUUUUUGUUCUUUUUUAAAAAAUUUUCUUUAUUUUCUAAAAUUUCUUACAUAAGUAGCUAUUAUAAUUAGAUAUGAAAUUUAUUUUCAAGGAAUGCUUAGAAUAAGUUUACAGUAACUGGAAAAAAAAGCAGCAUACCACAUUGUACACAAAACAUAAUCUCAAUACAAACACAAAUCAGAGCAUAGGAAAUACAACAAAUUUUCAUAUUGAUUGCUUCUAGGUGACAACACCAUGUGGAAUUUUUUGUUGAUUUCCUGAUUUUCCAACUAGAGUGGGUAAAGUCAGUGUCCCACUAGUGUGUGUGCAUGUGCACAAGUACACGCACAUGAUAUUAGGAAGCUCUUCAUUGCCCACAGAUUUUUAAAAAAAUUUUUAUUUUAUAUUGAAGUAUAGCUGAUUUACAAUGUUGUGUUAAUUUCAGAGGCAGAGCAAAGUAAUGCAGUUAUACAUAUACCCAUUCUAUUUCAGAUUCUUUUCCUAUAUAGGUUAUUAAAGUAUAUACAUAUAUGUGUGUGUGUAUGUAAUUUUUUUUGGACUUUUUUUUAGGGCCACACCCGCAGCAUAUGGAGGUUCCCAGGCUAGGGGUAGAAUCAGAGCUGUAGCUGCCGGCCUACAACACAGCCACAGCAACAUGGGAUCUGAGCUGUGUCUGUGACUUACACCACAACUCACAGCAAUGCUAGAUCCUUAACCCACUGAGCAAGGCCAGGGAUUGAACCUGUGUCUUCAUGGAUGCCCAUCAGAUUCAUUUCCACUGAGCCACAAUGGGAACUCCCAUACAUUCUUUUGCACAUUCUUUUCCAUUAUAAUUUAUCACAGGAUAUUGAAUAGAGUUCCCUCUGCUAUACAGUAGGACCUUGUUGUUUAUCCAUUCUGCAUACAAUAGUUUGCAUCUGCUAAUCCCAAACUUUCAAUCUAUCCCUCGUCCACCACCCUCUCUCUUGACAACCAUAAAUUUGUUCUCUAUGUCUAUUUGUUUCAUAGAUAAGUUCAUUUGAGUCAUAUUUUCAAUUCCACCUAUAAGUGAUGGGAUAUGGUAUUUGUCUUUCUCUUCUGACUUACUUUACUUAGUAUGAUAAUAUCUAGAUCCAUCCAUUGUUGCUGCAAAUGACAUUUUUCAUGCUUUUUAUGCCUGAGUAAUAUUCCAUGGUAUAUAUGUACCACAUCUUCUUUAUCCAGUCCUCUGUCGAUGGACAUUUAGGUUGUUUGGCUAUUGUAAAUAGUGCUGCAAUGAACACUGGGUUGCAUGAAUCUUUUCGAAUUAUGGUUUUCUCUGGAUGUAUGCCCAGGAGUGAGAUUACAGGAUUAUAUUUACCAAUUUAAAAAUUAGGUCAUUUUGGGAUUCCGUUUUCGGCUCAGUGAUUAACAAACCCGAUUAGGAUCUAUGAAGAUACAGGUUCAAUCCCUGACCUUGCUCGGUGGGUUAAGGAUCUGGCAUUGCUGUGAGCUGUGGUGUAGGUCGUAGAUGUGGCUUGGCUCCUACGUUGCUGUGGCUGUGGCUGUGGCGGGCAGCUGUAGCUCCAAUUUGACCCCUAGCCUGAGAACCUCCAUAUGCCAAGGGUGCAGCCCCGAAAAGAAAAAAAAAAUUUUUGGGGGGUCAUUUGUCUUCUCAUUGUUGUGUUUGUUUGUUUAUUAAAAAAAAAUUGGGGAGUUCCCAUCGUGGCGCAGUGGUUAACGAAUCCGACUAGGAACCAUGAGGUUGCAGGUUCGGUCCCUGCCCCUGCUCAGUGGGUUAACGAUCCGGUGUUGCCGUGAGCUGUGGUGUAGGUUGCAGACGCGGCUCGGAUCCCGCGUUGCUGUGGCUCUGGCGUAGGCCAAGGCUACAGCUCCGAUUCGACCCCUAGCCUGGGAACCUCCAUAUGCAGCGGAAGCGGCCUAAGAAAUGGCAAAAAGACAAAUAAAUAAAUAAGUAAUUAAUUAAAUAAAUUUUUUUUGGCUGCACCCGUGGCAUGUGGAAGUUCCUGGGCCAGGGAUUGAACCCAUGCCACAGCUAUGACCCAAGCCACAGAAGUAACAGCACUGAAUCCUUGACCCACUGAGCCACCUUCGAAUUCUUUUUCUUUUUAAUUGUAUUUUUUUCUUUUUGGACAUACCCGCGGCAUGCGGGAGUCACACACAGACUCUGCCAUAGUCAUAGCACCUCCAGACUUCCCAUUCUAACCAUUCUAAUCAGGCCAUCACCAUGCAUCUUCCCAGCUUAGUUCUCCCAGGACUCUCAUUAUAAUUCUCUGACCCUAUUGAGAUCUUCAAUGCCCUGAUCGCUCUUUUUCACUGUCCUUUACUACCUGGACCCAGGCCUUUCCUUUCCUCCUCACCUAACCUGGACUUCGUGGCCUGGUAUUAUGGUUGCUUCGUAA
rnacentral:lncRNA from 1 species